AAGACAAUGAUAUAGUAGUAAUCACAUGGUCCUGCCUUCCAGCUAGUUGACAUGAUUAAUUGCUUUAGCAUAUAUAAGUUCAAGUUCAAUAGGUCCUACAUAUAUUUUCCUAUAGGGAACAAAGGAUCUCUAAGAAUCAAAUCCAUAAAUAUUGCUGGUAGCUUAUGAUGAUUUCUAGGAAUAAAACAUACCCCAGAUGCAAACUUUGUGUCCACUUAUAUAAAAACUAUAAGAGAAAAGAAGUCAAAAAUAUGAAAGAUUUCACUGGUCGACACUGUUUAUUGACAAUAGCACAUGAAGUAUCACAUUGUCUUGUUGCCCAACUCAUUGUCUAAUAUAUAUGAUCUUAGCCAUUAAUCUUGAAUAGCAGCAGACCCCAGUGUUUUUCAUGACAAGAUACAGAACAGACUAUCUUUAGAGAUCAAAUUGAUAAAUUUACUGCAAUAGCUGACAACUUGUAGGAUCAACAUUCCGGAU